rnacentral:rRNA from 1 species
GAGCGGUAGCACAGAGAGCUUGCUCUCGGGUGACGAGCGGCGGACGGGUGAGUAAUGUCUGGGAAACUGCCUGAUGGAGGGGGAUAACUACUGGAAACGGUAGCUAAUACCGCAUAAUGUCGCAAGACCAAAGUGGGGGACCUUCGGGCCUCAUGCCAUCAGAUGUGCCCAGAUGGGAUUAGCUAGUAGGUGGGGUAACGGCUCACCUAGGCGACGAUCCCUAGCUGGUCUGAGAGGAUGACCAGCCACACUGGAACUGAGACACGGUCCAGACUCCUACGGGAGGCAGCAGUGGGGAAUAUUGCACAAUGGGCGCAAGCCUGAUGCAGCCAUGCCGCGUGUGUGAAAAAGGCCUUCGGGUUGUAAAGCACUUUCAGCGGGGAGGAAGGCGUUAAGGUUAAUAACCUUGGCGAUUGACGUUACCCGCAGAAGAAGCACCGGCUAACUCCGUGCCAGCAGCCGCGGUAAUACGGAGGGUGCAAGCGUUAAUCGGAAUUACUGGGCGUAAAGCGCACGCAGGCGGUCUGUCAAGUCGGAUGUGAAAUCCCCGGGCUCAACCUGGGAACUGCAUUCGAAACUGGCAGGCUAGAGUCUUGUAGAGGGGGGUAGAAUUCCAGGUGUAGCGGUGAAAUGCGUAGAGAUCUGGAGGAAUACCGGUGGCGAAGACGGC